rnacentral:rRNA from 1 species
GACGUAGGAUGCAAGCAUUGUCCGGAUUUAUUGGGCGUAAAGAGUUCGUAGGCGGUUUGUUAAGUCUAAUGUUAAAGAUCAGGGCUCAACCCUGGGACUGCAUUGGAUACUGGCAGACUGGAGUGUGGUAGAGGUAAGUGGAAUUUCUGGUGUAGCGGUGAAAUGCGUAGAUAUCAGAAAGAACACCAGUGGCGUAGGCGACUUACUGGGCCAUAACUGACGCUGAGGAACGAAAGCCAGGGGAGCAAAUGGG